rnacentral:rRNA from 1 species
GUAAGGAAUAUUGGUCAAUGGACGAAAGUCUGAACCAGCCAUGCCGCGUGAAGGAUGAAGGCCCUCUGGGUUGUAAACUUCUUUUAUCUGGGACGAAAAAAGGGUAUUCUUACUCACUUGACGGUACCAGAGGAAUAAGCACCGGCUAACUCCGUGCCAGCAGCCGCGGUAAUACGGAGGGUGCAAGCGUUAUCCGGAUUCACUGGGUUUAAAGGGUGCGUAGGUGGGUAUUUAAGUCAGUGGUGAAAUCUCCGAGCUUAACUCGGAAACUACCAUUGAUACUAUUUACCUUGAAUGCCCUGGAGGUAAGCGGAAUAUGUCAUGUAGCGGUGAAAUGCUUAGAUAUGACAUAGAACACCAAUUGCGAAGGCAGCUUACUACGGGGUGAUUGACACUGAGGCACGAAAGCGUGGGGAGCAAACAGGAUUAGAAACCCCUGUAGUCC